AUUGUCGGGGGAGGUUCUUUCCUGAGAGUCCCUGCGUCCCAAGUGCCCAAAUACUUCAGCCACCACAACAUGUGAUUUUCUUGUCCUGGAAUUCUGAGGUCCACAUGCAUACAGUGCCGCUGGCAGAGCCUGCUGUAAUCCUGAGAAUUCCUUUUCAUCGACUCACUGCAAGUUCAGAGACAAGGCAUCGACUCACUACAAGUUCAGAGACAAGGUGCGUGCCAGACCUGCACCCUGGGCUCCAGGGUGAGGAAGGAACCGCUCGUCCUACGCUGGGUCCCUGCCUCUGCUCCUGCUUGUCACCCUUGGCCAAACGUUCCCCAAUCCCGAGCGGCUCUGGCCUUUGGACAGAAGUCAGCCUGUCAGCCUUCUGGAACACCUGCGUCCAUUGUGGCCACUUCCUCAUCCCCAGACCGGCUCAGUCUUGCAGGGGCGUUUGAAUUGUUUCCUCCUACACAACACUGAACUGUGCAGCUCCCGCCCCGACCUGUCUCUAAACAGUGUCACUAGUCCCAAGGCCUCCUGCAGGCCACUGGGCCCACAGACAGGCCAACCAGCAAACUGGGGGUCCCACUGAGAGACACCUGGUGCUGGUUGCCGUGCACUUAGAGUGGGCCAGGCAGCUGGAACCUAAGAGGAGCUGCUGGAGGAAGUGGAGCACCUUGAAUGUCACCUGGACUCACGUCUGCCCCUACCGCCCCCUCGGACCCGCACCCACCCCCCGGCCCAGGCACCAGGUGAACCCUCUGUGUCUUUCCAACAAGCCCCAGGCAGGAGGGGCUUCACAAGCAGAAGCACCAGUCUUAUUUCUGGAAGGAGUUAUUUAUGAGUGAAGAGCUGGAGAAUCCAUUCGCAAACUGAUGCAUGAAAGUGAUUAGCAAGAGAAAGUUGUGAGACAAAACAGAGAAGCUGAGAGGCCAGAAACCUCUACCCAGGACGCUGAGCUCCUGGCGGAUCCGAUGAGUCCCUCCAGGACACCGUCCACCCUGGGAUGAAGGCAGAGGAGUUGGAAGGAGGCGAGGCCGUCACGGGACAACAGGACCCUAUGAAGGUGGGCCCACAGCAAAAGGAGAGAUGAUUCUAGAGCAUCCAGUCUUCUAGGGCAGCAAAACAACCUAAAUUUUCUAAGAGGCCACCCAGCUGAGGGUGCCCCCGGGGAGGGCUGAGGCGUCAGGGUGACGGCUCCACUGCCCACUCACCUGCGACCUCAAAGCCCCUCUCCUCCUUGGGGUGCUCCUGACAGCCACCUCCAGGGCAGGCGAGUGGCGCUGGGACAAAGGCUGGCCCGACUGCGCCCCACCCAAGCAGACGGUCCUUCCCCCAGACCUGGCGCCAAACUGGAGUGAAAGCCCGACCACCGUGUCUCACAGGGAAACUGACACCAGAUGCGAACUUCCAAAUGGAUCCCUCCCUGCAAGUGUGGAGCUGGCGCUACCAGGCACUGCUCUGGCCAUGCGUCUAAGACACAGGCAGAGGGCGCUGCCCACCACGCUGGCGACGGCCUCAAAGCCCCUGUUCAUGCCUGGGACAGCGCCCAAGGACCUUGCUCAUGCCUGGGACAGGCCCCAGGGCCCCCACUGGCUGCAGUCAGCAGCGGGCAGGGUGGUGGGGGAAGGUAUGGACACUCCGUGGGCCGGAGCUGGGAGAACAAGGCCUAUUAUUGGACACCUGGUGGCCAUGGCAACCACACAAGGAUGCCUGAGACUGAAAAUCUGUGGGCUUCAAGGAGCUCCAGCUCUUGCACUGGCUGAGUCACAGUGACUAUAUAACUCUUACUCCCACUUUUGGGACACUUUUUGAGAGGGACAGGGAUCCUAUCUAACUACACGGGACAGACAUCGCCCAAGACCGUCCUGAGCAAGCCUGGACGCUGUGACCCUAACGAUGAAGGUGUCCCGCAGACAAUGUCCGGGGCAGGCACCAUGCUCUCCCAACCUACCACAGCCAGAUGUUUUUGUAAAGAACAAUAAAAAUGAAUUACUAGAAAAGCAAAGACAUAAAAUACA